GACGAACGCUGGCGGCGUGCUUAACACAUGCAAGUCGAACGGAAAGGCCCUGCUUUUGUUGGGUGCUCGAGUGGCGAACGGGUGAGUAACACGUGAGUAACCUGCCCUUGACUUUGGGAUAACUUCAGGAAACUGGGGCUAAUACCGGAUAGGAGCUCCUGCUGCAUGGUGGGGGUUGGAAAGUUUCGGCGGUUGGGGAUGGACUCGCGGCUUAUCAGCUUGUUGGUGGGGUAGUGGCUUACCAAGGCUUUGACGGGUAGCCGGCCUGAGAGGGUGACCGGCCACAUUAGGACUGAGAUACGGACCAGAAGCCUACGGGAGGCAGCAGUGGGGAAUAUUGCACAAUGGGCGGAAGCCUGAUGCAGCAACGCCGCGUGCGGGAUGACGGCCUUCGGGGUGUAAACCGAUUUCGCCUGUGACGAAGCGUGAGUGACGGUAAUGGGUAAAGAAGCACCGGCUAACUACGUG
rnacentral:rRNA from 1 species